AGAAUUUUAGGUUAAUUAAACUUAAGGCCUUCAAAGCCUUUAAUGGAAAAUUUAUUUCCAAAUUCUG
rnacentral:tRNA from 1 species